rnacentral:rRNA from 1 species
GAGGGGGGCUGCUCCUAGUACGAGAGGACCGGAGUGGACGCAUCUCUGGUGUACCGGUUGUGACGCCAGUCGCAUCGCCGGGUAGCUAUAUGCGGAAGAGAUAAACGCUGAAAGCAUCUAAGCGUGAAACUCGCCUCAAGAUGAGACUUCCCUGGAGACUUGAUCUCCCUGAAGGGCCGUGGAAGACCACCACGUUGAUAGGUCGGGUGUGGAAGCGCAGUAAUGCGUUAAGCUAACCGAUACUAAUUACCCGUGAGGCUUGAUCCU